ACCAAGGAGUCUAACAUGUGCGCGAGCCGCGGGGCAGUACGAAACCCGUAAGGCGAAAUGAAGGUGAACGCCGGCGCGGUCCGGCGGAGGUUGGAUCCCGUCCCGUCGGGGCGGGCGCACUACCGGCCGAUCUUCUCCGCCCUGUCGGCGAGGUCGAGCGAGAGCGUGCAAGUCGGGACCCGAAAGAUGGUGAACUAUGCCAUGAGGAGGUUGAAGCCAGAGGAAACUCUGGUGGAGGACCGUAGCGAUUCUGACGUGCAAAUCGAUCGUCAAAUUUGGGUAUAGGGGCGAAAGACUAAUCGAACCGUCUAGUAGCUGGUUCCCUUCGAAGUUUCCCUCAGGAUAGCUGGCGCUCUGU
rnacentral:ncRNA from 1 species